UACUCAUAUGGCCUAGUGGUUAGAGCGUCUGCCUGGGAUGCGGGAGGUCUUCGGUUUAAUCCCCGAUCGAGUCA